rnacentral:rRNA from 1 species
GAAAUGAAGAUUAAUACCCCAUGGUAUUAUUGAUUCGCAUGGAUUAAUAAUUAAAGAUUUAUCGGUAGAAGAUGGCUAUGCGUCCUAUUAGUUAGUUGGAGUGGUAACGGCACCCCAAGACAGCGAUAGGUAGGGGCCCUGAGAGGGGGAUCCCCCACACUGGUACUGAGACACGGACCAGACUCCUACGGGAGGCAGCAGUGAGGAAUAUUGGGCAAUGGAGGCAACUCUGACCCAGCCAUGCCGCGUGCAGGAAGACUGCCCUAUGGGUUGUAAACUGCUUUUAUACAGGAAGAAACUUACCCACGUGUGGGUAACUGACGGUACUGUAAGAAUAAGGAUCGGCUAACUCCGUGCCAGCAGCCGCGGUAAUACGGAGGAUCCAAGCGUUAUCCGGAAUCAUUGGGUUUAAAGGGUCCGUAGGUGGAUUAAUAAGUCAGAGGUGAAAUCCUGCAGCCUCAACUGUAGAACUGCCUUU